rnacentral:rRNA from 1 species
GGGGCAGCAUGGUCUUAGCUUGCUAAGGCUGAUGGCGACCGGCGCACGGGUGAGUAACACGUAUCCAACCUGCCGUCUACUCUUGGCCAGCCUUCUGAAAGGAAGAUUAAUCCAGGAUGGCAUCAUGAGUUCACAUGUCCGCAUGAUUAAAGGUAUUUUCCGGUAGACGAUGGGGAUGCGUUCCAUUAGAUAGUAGGCGGGGUAACGGCCCACCUAGUCAACGAUGGAUAGGGGUUCUGAGAGGAAGGUCCCCCACAUUGGAACUGAGACACGGUCCAAACUCCUACGGGAGGCAGCAGUGGGGAAUAUUGGUCAAUGGGCGAUGGCCUGAACCAGCCAAGUAGCGUGAAGGAUGACUGCCCUAUGGGUUGUAAACUUCUUUUAUAAAGGAAUAAAGUCGGGUAUGCAUACCCGUUUGCAUGUACUUUAUGAAUAAGGAUCGGCUAACUCCGUGCCAGCAGCCGCGGUAAUACGGAGGAUCCGAACGUUAUCCGGAUUUAUUGGGUUUAAAGGGAGCGUAGAUGGAUGUUUAAGUCAGUUGUGAAAGUUUGCGGCUCAACCGUAAAAUUGCAGUUGAUACUGGAUGUCUUGAGUGCAGUUGAGGCAGGCGGAAUUCGUGGUGUAGCGGUGAAAUGCUUAGAUAUCACGAAGAACUCCGAUUGCGAAGGCAGCCUGCUAAGCUGCAACUGACAUUGAGGCUCGAAAGUGUGGGUAUCAAACAGG